rnacentral:misc_RNA from 1 species
GAUGAAGAACGUAGCGAAAUGCGAUAAGUAAUGUGAAUUGCAGAAUUCAGUGAAUCAUCGAAUCUUUGAACGCACCUUGCGCCCUUUGGCCAUUCCGAAGGGCAUGCCUGUUUGAGUAUCAUGAACACCUCAACUCUUCAUGGUUUUCCAUGAUGAGCUUGGACUUUGGGGGUCUUGCUGGCCUACGGUCGGCUCCUCUAAAAUAAAUCAGCUUGCCAGUGUUUGGUGGGUAUCGCAGGUGUGAUAACUAUCUACGCUUGUGGUUUUCCACCAAGUAACCUUCAGCAGUGGAGGUUCACUGGAGCUCACAGAUGUGUCUCUCCUCAGUGAGGGAUAGCUCUUUGAAUGUUUGAUCUCAAAUCAGGUAGAACUACCCGCUGAACUUAAGCAUAUCAAUAAGCGGAGGA